rnacentral:rRNA from 1 species
UACGGGGGGAGCAAGCGUUGUUCGGAUUUACUGGGCGUAAAGGGCGCGUAGGCGGCGCAACAAGUCACUUGUGAAAUCUUCAGGCUUAACCUGAAGCGGCCAAGUGAUACUGUCGUGCUAGAGUGCGGAAGGGGCAACUGGAAUUCUUGGUGUAGCGGUGAAAUGCGUAGAUAUCAAGAGGAACACCUGCGGCGAAGGCGGGUUGCUGGGCCGACACUGACGCUGGAGGCGCGAAAAGCUAGGGGGAGCGAACGGGG